rnacentral:lncRNA from 1 species
ACGAAAGCCUCCACUCGAGCGCCAGCGCUCGAAUGAAGACUCAGGGGCUACUGUCGAGGGUAUCAACAAGGGGUACCCUCACCAAUGCGUAUAACGAGAUCAUCCGUACACACGCGCGGCCAUCGACGGCCGCAGCCUCGAAGACGGAAGUAGCGUCGAGCGAAUCGAUCAGGGCUCGAGCGACAGCUGCCGUCGAAUACGGAAGCGGGCUCGAGCGAACCGAGAGGCGUCGAGCGCAAGGACACUGUCCGCCGCCUGACGCGCGCACGAGAGCCAGGGCAUUUAAUGCACCUGACGCUUCCCCACCUA